GCGCGAACGCUGGCGGCGUGCCUAACACAUGCAAGUCGUGCGCAGGCUCGCUCCCUUUUGGGAGCGGGUGCUGAGCGGCAAACGGGUGAGUAACACGUGGGUAACCUACCCCCAGGAGGGGGAUAACCCCGGGAAACCGGGGCUAAUACCCCAUAAUGCCACCCGCCACUAAGGCGUGGUGGCCAAAGGGGGCCUCUGGCCUUUGGCCAUGCUCCCGCCUGGGGAUGGGCCCGCGGCCCAUCAGGUAGUUGGUGGGGUAACGGCCCACCAAGCCUAUGACGGGUAGCCGGCCUGAGAGGGUGGCCGGCCACAGCGGGACUGAGACACGGCCCGCACCCCUACGGGGGGCAGCAGUGGGGAAUCGUGGGCAAUGGGCGAAAGCCUGACCCCGCGACGCCGCGUGGGGGAAGAAGCCCUGCGGGGUGUAAACCCCUGUCGGGGGGGACGAAGCGGCUAUGGGUUAAUAGCCCAUAGUCGUGACGGUACCCCCAGAGGAAGGGACGGCUAACUACGUGCCAGCAGCCGCGGUAAUACGUAGGUCCCGAGCGUUGCGCGAAGUCACUGGGCGUAAAGCGUCCGCAGCCGGUCGGGUAAGCGGGAUGUCAAAGCCCACGGCUCAACCGUGGAAUGGCAUCCCGAACUGCCCGACUUGAGGCACGCCCGGGCAGGCGGAAUUCCCGGGGUAGCGGUGAAAUGCGUAGAUCUCGGGAGGAACACCGAAGGGGAAGCCAGCCUGCUGGGGCUGUCCUGACGGUCAGGGACGAAAGCCGGGGGAGCAAACCGGAUUAGAUACCCGGGUAGUCCCGGCCGUAAACCAUGGGCGCUAGGGCUUGUCCCUUUGGGGCAGGCUCGCAGCUAACGCGUUAAGCGCCCCGCCUGGGGAGUACGGGCGCAAGCCUGAAACUCAAAGGAAUUGGCGGGGGCCCGCACAACCGGUGGAGCGUCUGGUUCAAUUCGAUGCUAACCGAAGAACCUUACCCGGGCUUGACAUGCUGGGGAGACUCCGCGAAAGCGGAGUUGUGGAAGUCCCUAGGACUUCCCCCCAGCACAGGUGGUGCAUGGCCGUCGUCAGCUCGUGUCGUGAGAUGUUGGGUUAAUUC
rnacentral:rRNA from 1 species